AAUAAAAGAAAGGAGAGGGACACGCGAGAAACAAAGCCAUCGAUGCCCCUCAUCUCUCCCAAAUCGCCGCCACUAACCGCCUCGUCACCCUCGUCCUCCCACCUCGCCGCCGGCCCUCCCCUCCGUUCCUCCCAUAUCGCUGCUCUUGAGGCUACCGGAUCUGCCUCAUCCCCCACCUACCCCAUCCCUCUCACAUCCCAUCUCUCUCUCUCUCUCUCUCUCAGUGCAGCUCCUCGUGGCGCCACCUGCGGCGGUUGAUUCAGGCGACUUCCGGCGAAUCCCGCCAUGCCCGAGGUCCCUUCACACCGUGGCGCGCUCCCAUGCAGCUAGAUCUGGCGCCCGCGGCUACCAAAGCCCACCCGCGACCUUCCCGCGAUGGCUAGGGUUUCGGGCGCCGGCGCCGGCGCCAGUGGCCAUGUCGUCUUUCUCGUCCGGAGUCUGAUGGUCAGGUUAUUUAGGUGGAGGUAGUAGCUUGCUAAUGGUGGCUUUCACGUCCAGCUUAAAUACUAGAGGACGUGGACCUGUUUUGGAGGAAGCACGGACACCUUUGUUUUAGUGAGCAGCAUGCAGUUAUUAUAUAUGCACUUGGGUCAAGUCAACGCAGAGGAUUCAUCUAUAUCAAGUACUGAUCUACUAAUCUAAAAAAAGGUACUAAUCUACUACCGCUGUACAUCAUAGUGAAAAUAAAACUGAAUCCCAGUACCUCACUUAGAUGCAACCUACACCUGAGCUUUAUGCAUUUUAAUGUACAAACAUGCAUAUACUAAGGCUCGCAGCAAGCACACACACAUAUACACCGGGAGCGGCUCACUGUUAAUCAUCAUGUUUGUCAUUCGUUAAGUAGAAGCUCACUGUUUGUUUGUGCAUCAUGUUUGUCAUUCGUUAAGUAGAGGCUCACUGUUUGUUUGUGCGCAGGUUUCCAAAGAAAGAAAUACUCAAUGCCAUUCAGUGCCUUUCAAUGUGCCAGUCUCUACAUUCAUAGUACAUCACUGAGUUUUACCUUCAACUAAGACUAUUUCCGUUGUGGUGAUUAUUUGUUUAUUCCUUCAUUGCUUAGAUUAGCUCUAACCAUUUUUCAGCCUCCCUUUCUGCUCUUAUUUAACUAUUUAUGUACUUCCCAAUGAUGUACCUAUUGUUGUGUGUAAUUUAAUGUGAGGUGCCACACUCAUCCGUUCCGGCACUAUCGAGAUGGAGGCCAACACCUUGGACGGCUGGAGCUGCUAGUAGAUUUGUCCAAGAUACGGCAGUGUUCAUAGUCAUAGUUCUGGUCACAACUUUUCUUUGUAAUAGUCGUAAUCUAGCCGGGCAACCAAUGUUUCAGAAGUAAUGACCCUUUGUAAGAAAUUCAAAAAAUAUAUGAACAAUCAUGGGUGCAUGGCAAGUAUACUACAAUGAUGAUGAUUAUGAUGUUCUGGUUCACGAUGAUGACGAUGAUGUUUGUUUUCAGUUUUAGUUAGGUUGUAGGGAUGUUGUUCCUCGGUUAAGUUUUAGUUAAGUUGUAGGGAUGUUGAUGGAUGUUGUCAGUUUAAGUUUUGCUGUUAAGAGAAUAUUUAGAUUGUGCAUUACAUUUGGAUGUUAUUCCUCCUGUAAUAUCAACUAUUGUAAUCCCACAAUUUUUUCCAAUAUAUGAUCUCUUCCUCUGGUGUGUA